GACGAACCGUGCGAACGUUGUUCGGAAUCACUGGGCUUAAAGGGCGCGUAGGCGGGCUGCCAAGUCUGGGGUGAAAUCCCACGGCUCAACCGUGGAACUGCCUCGGAUACUGGCGGCCUCGAGGGAGGUAGGGGCGUGCGGAACUGUGGGUGGAGCGGUGAAAUGCGUUGAUAUCGAUAGGAACUCCGGUGGCGAAGGCGGCAUACUGGACCACAUCUGACGCUGAGGCGCGAAAGCCAGGGGAGCAAACGGG
rnacentral:rRNA from 1 species